rnacentral:misc_RNA from 2 species
CAGGACUCGCAAGACUCCUACAACCCUGUGAACUUCACUAUAAGCACGUUGCUUCGGCGGGUGUCGCGGCGCGGGUCUUCCCGCACCGGGGCGCUAAGCCCGCCGGCAGCCUACUAUACUCUGUUUCUCUGCGUUGGCAUCUCGAGAAAAAACAAACAAGUUA